GUUUAUCUUGUAUAUACACUUCACACGGUUUUUUGCUGAGCCAGUAGUAAACUGAUGUUUAACCACCAUCAACAAAAAAAACACAAGACUGAUUCAUCACCUAUUUCAGUCUUCAAACCCAGAUCUGCCUUUAUUGAGCAGGCUGGCACAGGAGAGAGCACAGCCAGCUGGAGGGACUGGAAGGUCACUGUGGCUGUGAUGGGCAAAGCAGUGGGGUUUGAGAGGGAGUGUGAAGCAAGACCAGUCCAGAUAUACACACAGGGGCCACAGCAUAGCUUUGCAUGCUAUGUUAAGCAAUUGUGUUUACAUCUGAAGAACAAUGGGAAGCCAAUGAUGACCUUUUGGAUCUUCAGUCAAAACGACUGCUCUAGAAAGAAGAGCUAAGUGAUGGAAAGAUUUCUGCAACCUUGGGAAGGUGUCAAUAUAUGUUAUUGACAUGCUGGAAAAGCAGCCAGAUAAAUAGGAACGACAUAUACACUUUUUCUGCAGUGUCAACAUCAUCUUCAUCAUUACUAUUACUACAAUCACCUUGAUUCAGAACCCAUCAGUCAAUGAAUGAACAACUGGAGCCUCACUAUUGGUGUGAAUAAUUUCUUUGAUAUCCACUUCUUCCAGCUUGCUGAUAGACUCUGAAGGUAUUAUCCUCAGCUCUUGGCCCAGUGAGUCUUCUGUGCAUGCUGCUGGGGGAAAUCAGCCAGAACUGCUCUGCUGGACAAGAUUCUCAGAAUAGAGGCUGCUAACAAGCCCAGAUGGCAGUUGCAGCCAUCUUGUGACUAGAAGAAGAGGAAGCUCCAUACUCAGGGGCUCCAGAACACUAGAGUCACAGUCCUGAGACACAUACCUGGAGGCUGCCCUGCGUGUGGACUUCGGUAUGUUUAAUAAUAAAUUUCUUAAUAUUUUAAGCCAGUUUUAACUGUGUGUCUUACACUUAAAGCCAAAUGUGCUCUAACUGUAAAAAGUAAGAUGGGGGAAUACUAAUUCUCAUUAUAAUCUUCUCCAACCAACUUUUAAAAAAUAAAUUCUACUGUAUAUAUUUGAGGUAUACAACACAAUGUUAUGAGAUAGUAAAACGAUUACUGUAGUAAAGCAAAUUAACAUAUUCAUCAUCUCACAUAGUUAUCUAUUUUUUAUGGCAAACACAGCUAAAAUCUACUCAUUUGGCAAAAAUCCUGAAUACAAUACAAUAUUAUUAACUAUAGUCCUCAUGCUUUAAAUUAGAUCUCUAAACUUGUUCAUCCUGCAUAUCUGCUACUUUAUAUCCUUUGAACUACAUCUUCCCAUUUUCUCCCAGCUUCCAUUGAUUUUCUUC
rnacentral:lncRNA from 1 species